GUAAAGGUUUCGACGGGGAAUCUGCAGCUGGAGAAGCGAGUCGUAUGGCGAUGCGUCAAAUGGCCAAAUUAAAAUUAAACGCUAACGAAAAUUUAGCUUACGCUGCCUAAUUUCGGCAGUAGUCUGACCUAGGGCACUCACACCUUAGGAACCAGGCUUCAUCUAUGUGAGAAACGACACUUGCAAAGCUUUGAGUUUGUGGGCGUAUUAUGAAGCUACUGAAAUCAUUCGGUUGUUUGUUCCUGAAUGGUAGAGGGAAUGUUUAAGGAUAAACUACACUCGUAGAAGGACAGGGAAUUUUUCUUCGGACACGGGUUCGACUCCCGUCUAGUCCACU
rnacentral:tmRNA from 1 species